ACGUAGGUGGCAAGCGUUGUCCGGAAUUAUUGGGCGUAAAGCGCGCGCAGGCGGCCUUUUAAGUCUGAUGUGAAAGCCCCCGGCUCAACCGGGGAGGGUCAUUGGAAACUGGAAGGCUUGAGUACAGAAGAGAAGAGUGGAAUUCCAUGUGUAGCGGUGAAAUGCGUAGAGAUGUGGAGGAACACCAGUGGCGAAGGCGACUCUUUGGUCUGUAACUGACGCUGAGGCGCGAAAGCGUGGGGAGCAAACAGG
rnacentral:rRNA from 1 species